rnacentral:rRNA from 1 species
GAUGAACGCUGGCGGCGUGCUUAACACAUGCAAGUCGAACGGUGAAGGCGGAGCUUGCUCUGCUGGAUCAGUGGCGAACGGGUGAGUAACACGUGAGCAAUCUGCCCCUGACUCUGGGAUAAGCGCUGGAAACGGCGUCUAAUACUGGAUACGAGCUGCGAAGGCAUCUUCAGCAGCUGGAAAGAACUUCGGUCAGGGAUGAGCUCGCGGCCUAUCAGCUUGUUGGUGAGGUAACGGCUCACCAAGGCGUCGACGGGUAGCCGGCCUGAGAGGGUGACCGGCCACACUGGGACUGAGACACGGCCCAGACGCCUACGGGAGGCAGCAGUGGGGAAUAUUGCACAAUGGGCGAAAGCCUGAUGCAGCAACGCCGCGUGAGGGACGACGGCCUUCGGGUUGGAAACCUCUUUUAGCAGGGAAGAAGCGAAAGUGACGGUACCUGCAGAAAAAGCGCCGGCUAACUACGU